rnacentral:rRNA from 1 species
GACGAACGCUGGCGGCGUGCUUAACACAUGCAAGUCGAACGGAAAGGCCCCCUUGUGGGGUACUCGAGUGGCGAACGGGUGAGUAACACGUGAGUAACCUACCCUUGACUUUGGGAUAACUUCAGGAAACUGGGGCUAAUACCGGAUAGGAGCUCCUGCUGCAUGGUGGGGGUUGGAAAGUUUCGGCGGUUGGGGAUGGGCUCGCGGCUUAUCAGCUUGUUGGUGGGGUAGUGGCUCACCAAGGCUUUGACGGGUAGCCGGCCUGAGAGGGUGACCGGCCACAUUGGGACUGCGAUACGGCCCAGACUCCUACGGGAGGCAGCAGUGGGGAAUAUUGCACAAUGGGCGGAAGCCUGAUGCAGCAACGCCGCGUGCGGGAUGACGGCCUUCGGGUUGUAAACCGCUUUCGCCUGUGACGAAGCGUGAGUGACGGUAAUGGGUAAAGAAGCACCGGCUAACUACGUG